rnacentral:rRNA from 1 species
GAUGAACGCUGGCGGCGUGCCUAAUACAUGCAAGUCGAGCGAACAGACGAGGAGCUUGCUCCUCUGACGUUAGCGGCGGACGGGUGAGUAACACGUGGAUAACCUACCUAUAAGACUGGGAUAACUUCGGGAAACCGGAGCUAAUACCGGAUAACAUGUUGAACCGCAUGGUUCAACAGUGAAAGACGGUCUUGCUGUCACUUAUAGAUGGAUCCGCGCCGCAUUAGCUAGUUGGUAAGGUAACGGCUUACCAAGGCAACGAUGCGUAGCCGACCUGAGAGGGUGAUCGGCCACACUGGAACUGAGACACGGUCCAGACUCCUACGGGAGGCAGCAGUAGGGACUCUUCCGCAAUGGGCGAAAUCCUGACGGAGCAACGCCGCGUGAGUGAAGAAGGUCUUCGGAUCGUAAAACUCUGUUAUUAGGGAAGAACAAAUGUGUAAGUAACUAUGCACGUCUUGACGGUACCUAAUCAGAAAGCCACGGCUAACUACGUG